ACAGCAGCCGCCGCGGUAAGACGAACCGUGCAAACGUUACUCGGAAUCACUGGGCUUAAAGCGCACGUAGGCGGCGACAUAAGUUAGAGGUGAAAUCCCAUCGGCUCAACCGUGGAACUGCCUCUAAUACUGUGUUGCUUGAGGGAGGACGGGGCAUCCGGAACUUCCGGUGGAGCGGUGAAAUGUGUUGAUAUCGGAAGGAACGCCGGUGGCGAAAGCGGAAUGCUGGGUCUCUUCUGACGCUGAGGUGCGAAAGCUAGGGUAGCGAACGGGAUUAGAUACCCGGGUAGUCCCUGUCUCUUAUA
rnacentral:rRNA from 1 species